rnacentral:antisense_RNA from 1 species
AUUUAUGGCAGGUUGUAUGGGAGCACUUCUGUGCGCCGCCUUUCUAGUACGAGCGGUAGUUCGAAUCUCAUACAAUUCUGCCGCCCAC